rnacentral:tRNA from 1 species
GCGCUGGUGGUGGAAUGGUAGACACACCAUCUUGAGGGGGUGGCGGGGAGACCCGUGCGAGUUCAAGUCUCGCCCAGCGCACCA